AUGCAGGAGCAAGACCCAGCCCUUAGCCAGGCACACGUGUCCGCUGUGGUCUGGAGCCACAGACCUCUGGGCCCCUUCUGCCAUCUCCUCUUGACACUUUACUCUCAGGCCAACCUGGACCAUUGGCAGCUUCCUGAGGAGUCAUUCAGUAAAGAUUUCAUGUGUCAGGACGCCGCACCUGCUGCUGCUCAGCGAUGGCGAUGGUGAGCAGGCCAGCAGGCGACGUCCACGCCCUCUCCUGGAGUUUACCGUCUACCGGGGGAGUGAAAUAGUGGGCCACUUCCCCUCCUUCUGCCAGAGCCUGAUGUGGACCAGCUGACUUAUGAGGGGGAGUGCUGUGCUGCGGCAGAUCGGGGGCUGCCAACGGUGAAGGAAGGGGUCCUCCUGCCUGGUCCCAGGGACUGGAGGUUCUUCCAGGGCAGGCGGGGUGUCUGUGCCUCCUCUUCUGCCUUCAGCCCUGCGCCCAGCCC